UGGGGAAUAUUGCACAAUGGGGGAAACCCUGAUGCAGCAACGCCGCGUGAGUGAUGACGGCCUUCGGGUUGUAAAGCUCUGUCUUCAGGGACGAUAAUGACGGUACCCGAGGAGGAAGCCACGGCUAACUACGUGCCAGCAGCCGCGGUAAUACGUAGGUGGCGAGCGUUGUCCGGAUUUACUGGGCGUAAAGGGAGCGUAGGCGGACUUUUAAGUGAGAUGUGAAAUACUCGGGCUCAACUUGAGUGCUGCAUUUCAAACUGGAAGUCUAGAGUGCAGGAGAGGAGAAUGGAAUUCCUAGUGUAGCGGUGAAAUGCGUAGAGAUUAGGAAGAACACCAGUGGCGAAGGCGAUUCUCUGGACUGUAACUGACGCUGAGGCUCGAAAGCGUGGGGAGCAAACAGG
rnacentral:rRNA from 1 species